rnacentral:rRNA from 1 species
GGCGAGCGAACGGGGAGGAGCCCAGAGCCUGAAUCAGUGUGUGUGUUAGUGGAAGCGUCUGGAAAGGCGCGCGAUACAGGGUGACAGCCCCGUACACAAAAAUGCACAUGUUGUGAGCUCGAUGAGUAGGGCGGGACACGUGGUAUCCUGUCUGAAUAUGGGGGGACCAUCCUCCAAGGCUAAAUACUCCUGACUGACCGAUAGUGAACCAGUACCGUGAGGGAAAGGCGAAAAGAACCCCGGCGAGGGGAGUGAAAAAGAACCUGAAACCGUGUACGUACAAGCAGUGGGAGCACGCUUAGGCGUGUGACUGCGUACCUUUUGUAUAAUGGGUCAGCGACUUAUAUUCUGUAGCAAGGUUAACCGAAUAGGGGAGCCGAAGGGAAACCGAGUCUUAACUGGGCGUUAAGUUGCAGGGUAUAGACCCGAAACCCGGUGAUCUAGCCAUGGGCAGGUUGAAGGUUGGGUAACACUAACUGGAGGACCGAACCGACUAAUGUUGAAAAAUUAGCGGAUGACUUGUGGCUGGGGGUGAAAGGCCAAUCAAACCGGGAGAUAGCUGGUUCUCCCCGAAAGCUAUUUAGGUAGCGCCUCGUGAAUUCAUCUCCGGGGGUAGAGCACUGUUUCGGCAAGGGGGUCAUCCCGACUUACCAACCCGAUGCAAACUGCGAAUACCGGAGAAUGUUAUCACGGGAGACACACGGCGGGUGCUAACGUCCGUCGUGAAGAGGGAAACAACCCAGACCGCCAGCUAAGGUCCCAAAGUCAUGGUUAAGUGGGAAACGAUGUGGGAAGGCCCAGACAGCCAGGAUGUUGGCUUAGAAGCAGCCAUCAUUUAAAGAAAGCGUAAUAGCUCACUGGUCGAGUCGGCCUGCGCGGAAGAUGUAACGGGGCUAAACCAUGCACCGAAGCUGCGGCAGCGACGCUUAUGCGUUGUUGGGUAGGGGAGCGUUCUGUAAGCCUGUGAAGGUGUGCUGUGAGGCAUGCUGGAGGUAUCAGAAGUGCGAAUGCUGACAUAAGUAACGAUAAAGCGGGUGAAAAGCCCGCUCGCCGGAAGACCAAGGGUUCCUGUCCAACGUUAAUCGGGGCAGGGUGAGUCGACCCCUAAGGCGAGGCCGAAAGGCGUAGUCGAUGGGAAACAGGUUAAUAUUCCUGUACUUGGUGUUACUGCGAAGGGGGGACGGAGAAGGCUAUGUUGGCCGGGCGACGGUUGUCCCGGUUUAAGCGUGUAGGCUGGUUUUCCAGGCAAAUCCGGAAAAUCAAGGCUGAGGCGUGAUGACGAGGCACUACGGUGCUGAAGCAACAAAUGCCCUGCUUCCAGGAAAAGCCUCUAAGCAUCAGGUAACAUCAAAUCGUACCCCAAACCGACACAGGUGGUCAGGUAGAGAAUACCAAGGCGCUUGAGAGAACUCGGGUGAAGGAACUAGGCAAAAUGGUGCCGUAACUUCGGGAGAAGGCACGCUGAUAUGUAGGUGAAGCGACUUGCUCGUGGAGCUGAAAUCAGUCGAAGAUACCAGCUGGCUGCAACUGUUUAUUAAAAACACAGCACUGUGCAAACACGAAAGUGGACGUAUACGGUGUGACGCCUGCCCGGUGCCGGAAGGUUAAUUGAUGGGGUCAGCGCAAGCGAAGCUCUUGAUCGAAGCCCCGGUAAACGGCGGCCGUAACUAUAACGGUCCUAAGGUAGCGAAAUUCCUUGUCGGGUAAGUUCCGACCUGCACGAAUGGCGUAAUGAUGGCCAGGCUGUCUCCACCCGAGACUCAGUGAAAUUGAACUCGCUGUGAAGAUGCAGUGUACCCGCGGCAAGACGGAAAGACCCCGUGAACCUUUACUAUAGCUUGACACUGAACAUUGAGCCUUGAUGUGUAGGAUAGGUGGGAGGCUUUGAAGUGUGGACGCCAGUCUGCAUGGAGCCGACCUUGAAAUACCACCCUUUAAUGUUUGAUGUUCUAACGUGGACCCGUAAUCCGGGUUGCGGACAGUGUCUGGUGGGUAGUUUGACUGGGGCGGUCUCCUCCUAAAGAGUAACGGAGGAGCACGAAGGUUGGCUAAUCCUGGUCGGACAUCAGGAGGUUAGUGCAAUGGCAUAAGCCAGCUUGACUGCGAGCGUGACGGCGCGAGCAGGUGCGAAAGCAGGUCAUAGUGAUCCGGUGGUUCUGAAUGGAAGGGCCAUCGCUCAACGGAUAAAAGGUACUCCGGGGAUAACAGGCUGAUACCGCCCAAGAGUUCAUAUCGACGGCGGUGUUUGGCACCUCGAUGUCGGCUCAUCACAUCCUGGGGCUGAAGUAGGUCCCAAGGGUAUGGCUGUUCGCCAUUUAAAGUGGUACGCGAGCUGGGUUUAGAACGUCGUGAGACAGUUCGGUCCCUAUCUGCCGUGGGCGCUGGAGAACUGAGGGGGGCUGCUCCUAGUACGAGAGGACCGGAGUGGACGCAUCACUGGUGUUCGGGUUGUCAUGCCAAUGGCACUGCCCGGUAGCUAAAUGCGGAAGAGAUAAGUGCUGAAAGCAUCUAAGCACGAAACUUGCCCCGAGAUGAGUUCUCCCUGACCCUUUAAGGGUCCUGAAGGAACGUUGAAGACGACGACGUUGAUAGGCCGGGUGUGUAAGCGCAGCGAUGCGUUGAGCUAACCGGUACUAAUGAACCGUGAGGCUUAACCUU